rnacentral:rRNA from 1 species
GACGAACGCUGGCGGCGUGCUUAACACAUGCAAGUCGAACGGUAAGGCCCUUCGGGGUACACGAGUGGCGAACGGGUGAGUAACACGUGGGUGAUCUGCCCUGCACUUCGGGAUAAGCCUGGGAAACUGGGUCUAAUACCGGAUAGGACCACUGCCUGCAUGGGUGGUGUUGGAAAGCUUUUGCGGUGUGGGAUGGGCCCGCGGCCUAUCAGCUUGUUGGUGGGGUGAUGGCCUACCAAGGCGACGACGGGUAGCCGGCCUGAGAGGGUGACCGGCCACACUGGGACUGAGAUACGGCCCAGACUCCUACGGGAGGCAGCAGUGGGGAAUAUUGCACAAUGGGCGCAAGCCUGAUGCAGCGACGCCGCGUGAGGGAUGACGGCCUUCGGGUUGUAAACCUCUUUCAGCACCGACGAAGCGCAAGUGACGGUAGGUGCAGAAGAAGGACCGGCCAACUACGUGCCAGCAGCCGCCGUAAUAC